UGGGGAAUCUUCCGCAAUGGGCGCAAGCCUGACGGAGCAACGCCGCGUGAGUGAAGAAGGUCUUCGGAUCGUAAAGCUCUGUUGAUGGGGACGAACGUGCCUAAUGCGAAUAGUAUUAGGUAAUGACGGUACCCAUCGAGGAAGCCACGGCUAACUACGUGCCAGCAGCCGCGGUAAUACGUAGGUGGCGAGCGUUGUCCGGAAUCAUUGGGCGUAAAGGGAGCGCAGGCGGGCAUGUAAGUCUUUCUUAAAAGUGCGGGGCUCAACCCCGUGAUGGGAAAGAAACUAUGUGUCUUGAGUACAGGAGAGGAAAGCGGAAUUCCCAGUGUAGCGGGGAAAUGCGUAGAUAUUGGGAGGAACACCAGUGGCGAAGGCGGCUUUCUGGACUGCAACUGACGCUGAGGCUCGAAAGCCAGGGGAGCGAACGGG
rnacentral:rRNA from 1 species